AGUAAUUAUGUCUAAGGCCUUUAUUUUGUAUACUUUGCAUUGAGAAAUUGGCUAUACCCUCUACAUAACUUCAAUAUUCAAUCCAAUGGUAUAAUCCUGGGUUAGUGCUAUCUGAUAUAUGAACUUGAUGGUUGUGAGAGUGUGUAAGAGACCGAUCUAGAUCUAGAUCUUAGCACGAGGGAGGAGGGAGUUGGUAUGGAAACUUUGGGAGGAAGAUACACCACCCACCAGGUUGGGCCCCUUGGCUUCCAUCAGAUGGCGCUUGGCUUUGGAGGCAAUGGUGAUGAUCCCUGAGCGACUCUUGGCUCCCUGGAUCCUGAGUAAUGUUGGCACCUGAGUGGAGCUUGCUCCCAAGCGGCGUCGGCACCUGUGAAAGAAAGUUAUGUGGGAAUUCACAUAGUUUCUUCAGUAUAGAUGUUUGGCCGGAGAGACUACUUGGUCUAUUCUACAUCAAUUUUGUUUAUUCCUGAUCAAAACUUAUCCCACUUCAUGGCAACUCUUAUGAGAAAAACUGCAACUGGCUGAUCA